AAUUGUAAUUUCACAAAACAAGAAUUCAACAGGUAGAGAGCAUCCAGGGUUGAUUAACAAAGCAGCCCAGUGAGCUCACUCAGGCCCCAGGUGAUUCUCUUCAUUUCUCUGCUCAGCCAGGCUCACUCAGCCUGUCAGCUGAUUGUUCUCUUUUUCAAAAGAUGGCAGCAUCAUUCUAAGCAUCUCAUACCGAGAGGACAGUGUGAGUUUUCCCAGAAACCUCUUAACUGACUUACUCCCCACUAGCCAAAAUUGCAGUGUAUGGCCAUACCUAAGACAAACACUGGUAAGCAGACUGGGAGAAGGAAUGCAGUGAUUGGUUUAGACCGAUUACCCAUGGGAGCACAGUGAUUGGCUUAGACCAAUUACCAGUGGAGCUGAGUGACUGGUUUUCCUUUGAGGCUGAAGCUUGGAAGUUCUUCACUUUAUCACAUAGGGCUGGGGAUAAAAUCCAGGUUGUGGCAACAAGGAAAAUCUAUUCACAAGGGUUGGGGUAAUGAAUGAUUUAGGUAAUUUAUCUUCUAUAUAAGCCAUCAAAGGGCCAGCUGUACUAGCAAGAAGGGCAAUAGAGGCCCAGAGAAAGUGUCGGAAAAGCAGAAGAAAGAGUCAGGGAAGGUAGGUCAGGGUCAGUUGGAAGGCCUUGGGUUUUACACAGAACGAAUAACCUGAAUGAGUCACUCCUAAACCACUGUUCCCUCACCCCAUUCUCCCUCCUGAGGAUGGAUUAUGCACCUGCUCGCACAUCUGACUGUUGUUUCAUAUCACCAGUUUGGGUCAGGGUGACACGACCCAGCUGCCUCCAGAAGCCUCCCAGCCAAUGGACCCAGAGCGGGCUGUGGGCAAAUCAGUCAGCUGGUGGCUGCUGAUUGGAAUUCAUCCACAUUCUCAAAGUGGAGGACAGCGAGAGAUGUGUGCAGCCUCCUCCCCUAUGGAGGGAGUGCUAUUUGUUUAAAUGGUGUUUGGUGAUGCCAAAAACACUUGGCCUCCUUUAUCUAGAUAUAGACUAAUCCAGCACAAAUAGAUCAGUAGUAGUAAUACAGCAACAAUAGUAGCUCAACUGUUUUAUUUUGUAGACGUAGGAAACCAAGUUCAUGUUGAAGUGACUCGGCCAGGGUCACAAAGGCCAAACUGGAGCUAAGACUGAGUCUUAAGUCUCCUUGUUUUGAUUCUCUUUCUCCUUAUACUUGUAGGAAGAGUUUCUAUGCUAAAUGUAUGCCAGAUCUAUAACAUCAUUUUUCUGCAACAUGAAACUGCUUUAGCUUUCCCCUCCAAGAUCCAUUAUAACUUUGGAAAUGUGGUGAAAUGUGUCUUAUUGAACUCCAUUAAAGACUAAAUCUGGGGCCGAAUGCGGUGGCUCAAACCUGUAAUCCCAGCACUUUGGGAGGCCGAGAUGUGGCAAAUUCAUCCCAUCUCUGCUGCAGCUAUGAGUCUCAGAGAAAGUAAGUCUUGGGUAAACACAUCUAUUGCCUUUCAACCCUACCCUACUUUGAGCUGUCAGGUCUCUUCCCCUUUCCCCACUCUCUUUUAUGGAUCCAAAAAUUAUUCUAGAAAGUACAACUUGAAGACCACUGCCAUGAUACAAUGUUGGGAACCUUGUUCACAUGCUAAGGGUCAAUAUCACUUCAACCUUAGCUGAAGAUCACUAGAGCUCGGUGUCACUUCAACUUCAGCUGAAGAUCACUAGAGCUCGGUAUCACUUCUACUUCAGCUGAAGAUCGCUAGAGCUCGGUGUCACUUCAACUUCAGCUGAAGAUCGCUAGAGCUCGGUGUCACUUCAACUUCAGCUGAAGAUCGCUAGAGCUCGGUGUCACUUCAACUUCAGCUGAAGAUCGCUAGAGCUCAAUGUCACUUCUACUUCAGCUGAAGAUCGCAGGUCAAUAUCACUUCUGCUUCAGCUGAAGAGCACUAAAGCUCAGUAUCACUUCAACUUCAGCUGAAAGUCACCAAAGCUCAAUAUCACUUCUUCAGCUUAGGAUCACUUCUCUCGUUGCCUCUUUAAUGUCUGCUUCGUGACAUUUGUCACAAGUUAGUUGUGUGGUGAGCUGUCUUCCUCACAAGAACCUUACCUCCAAUGAGGGCAGGGAAUGAGGUGAAUCUGUUUAGAUUUGACACUGUGUCUCCAGUGCAUAGGCCAGUGCCUCAGACAUUGUAGGCUCUGGGAAAAAAUGCUUGGGACUAGAAUAACCAGAGGACUGGGGGAAAUCCCAUCCUAGUCUCACUUAGGGGAAGUCAGAAUAACAUAAUGUAGUUCACAUUGUAUAGUUCU